CGAACGCUUGCGACGUGCCUAAGAAAUGCAAGUCGAACGGGGGAGCAAUCCCUAGUGGCGAACGGUCGCGUAACACGUGGGCAACCUGCCCUGAAGCGGGGGACAACAAGUCGAAAGAUUUGCUAAUACCGCAUGUGUCUCGCUGUGGCAUCACAGAGGAGACAAAGCCGCAAGGCACUUCAGGAUGGGCCCGCGGCCUAUCAGCUUGUUGGUGAGGUAACGGCCCACCAAGGCUUCGACGGGUAGCUGGUCUGAGAGGACGAUCAGCCGGAUUGGGACUGAGAUACGGCCCAGACUCCGUACGGGGGCAGCAAUUAGGAAUCUUGCACAAUGGGCGAAAGCCUGAUGCAGCGACGUCGCGUGAAGGAUG
rnacentral:rRNA from 1 species